rnacentral:rRNA from 1 species
GACGAACGCUGGCGGCGUGCUUAACACAUGCAAGUCGAACGGAAAGGCCCUGCUUGCUGGGUGCUCGAGUGGCGAACGGGUGAGUAACACGUGGGUGAUCUGCCCCUUACUUUGUGAUAAGCCUGGGAAACUGGGUCUAAUACUGGAUAGGACCAUGCUGUAGGUGGUGUGGUGCAAAGAUUAGUUUCGGUAAGGGAUGAGCUCGCGGCCUAUCAGCUUGUUGGUGGGGUAAUGGCCUACCAAGGCGUCGGCGGAUAGCCGGCCUGAGAGGGUGGAAGGCCAGAUUGGGACUGAGAUACGGGCCAGACGCCGACGGGAGGCAGCAGUGGGGAAUAGUGCACAAUGGGCGCAAGCCUGAUGCAGCGACGCCGCGUGGGGGAUGACGGCCUUCGGGUUGUAAACUCCUUUCAGCCAUGACGAAGCCCUUGUGGUGACGGUAGUGGUAGAAGAAGCACCGGCUAACUACGUG